UGGGGAAUAUUGGACAAUGGGCGCAAGCCUGAUCCAGCCAUGCCGCGUGGGUGAAGAAGGCCUUCGGGUUGUAAAGCCCUUUUGUUGGGAAAGAAAAGCAAUCGGUUAAUAACCGGUUGUUCUGACGGUACCCAAAGAAUAAGCACCGGCUAACUUCGUGCCAGCAGCCGCGGUAAUACGAAGGGUGCAAGCGUUACUCGGAAUUACUGGGCGUAAAGCGUGCGUAGGUGGUGGUUUAAGUCCGUUGUGAAAGCCCUGGGCUCAACCUGGGAAUUGCAGUGGAUACUGGGUCACUAGAAUGUGGUAGAGGGUAGCGGAAUUCCUGGUGUAGCAGUGAAAUGCGUAGAGAUCAGGAGGAACAUCCGUGGCGAAGGCGGCUACCUGGACCAACAUUGACACUGAGGCACGAAAGCGUGGGGAGCAAACAG
rnacentral:rRNA from 1 species